GAUGAACGCUGGCGGCAUGCUUUACACAUGCAAGUCGGACGGGAAGUGGUGUUUCCAGUGGCGGACGGGUGGGUAACGCGUAAGUACCUGCCCUUGGGAGGGGAACAACAGCUGGAAACGGCUGCUAAAACCCCGCAGGCUCAGGAGCGAAAGGAGGAAUCCGCCAAAGGAGUGGCCCGCGUCUGACCUGCUAGAUGGAGCGAUAGUAGCUUACCAAGGCCGUGAUCAGUAGCUACUCCGAGAGGACGAUCAGCCACACUGCGGCGGGGACAAGGCGCAGACUCCAUUGGGCAGCAGGAGUGAGGAAUAUCCAGCAAUGGGCGGUAGCCUAACAAGGCAUUGCGGCGUGGAAGUAAAUGACCUAGGGGGCAAGAGCAGCUUGUCCUGAAGAAGAUACAAUGACGGUACCUGGAGAAUAAGCAUCGGCUAACUCCGUG
rnacentral:rRNA from 1 species